rnacentral:rRNA from 1 species
AGAGUUUGAUCCUGGCUCAGAUUGAACGCUGGCGGUAUGCUUAACACAUGCAAGUCGAACGGUAACAGCAGAAGCUUGCUUCUGGCUGACGAGUGGCGGACGGGUGAGUAACGCGUGGGAAUCUGCCUUAUAGUGGGGGAUAGCCCGGAGAAAUCCGGAUUAAUACCGCAUACGCCCUACGGGGGAAAGUUGGGGAUCUUCGGACCUGACGCUAUUAGAUGAGCCCGCGUGAGAUUAGCUUGUUGGUGGGGUAAUGGCCUACCAAGGCAACGAUCUCUAGCUGGUCUGAGAGGACGAUCAGCCACACUGGGACUGAGACACGGCCCAGACUCCUACGGGAGGCAGCAGUGGGGAAUAUUGCACAAUGGGCGCAAGCCUGAUGCAGCAAUACCGCGUGUGUGAAGAAGGCCUGCGGGUUGUAAAGCACUUUCAAUUGUGAAGAAAUGCUCUUGGUUAAUAACCUUGAGUCUUGACAUUAGCAAUACAAGAAGCACCGCUAACU